GACGAACCGUCCAAACGUUUAUUCGGAAUCACUGGGGCUUACAGAGUUCGUAGGCGGUCUGGAAAGUUGGGUGUGAAAUCCCUCGGCUCAACCGAGGAACUGCGCUCAAAACUACCCGACUCGAGGGAGAUAGAGGAAGCGGAACUGAUGUGGAGCGGUGAAAUGCGUUGAUAUCAAUCAGGAACACCGGUGGCCGAAGGCGGCUUUCUGGGUCUUACCUGACGCUGGAGGAACGGAAAGCUAGGGGAGCAAACGGG
rnacentral:rRNA from 1 species